GACGGUUGGCCUUGUAAUUUCUUCGGUCCGUUCUUCCGUUCGAGAGCGCAUGUUCCGAUGUUGAAAACGGGGAGUUCUGGAGACUGAUUCGGCUCCGCUUUGCAAGACGAUUGAACAUGAACCGCCUCCAUGUUCUGAAUCUCGUUUGCGAGAAAACCUAAUUCCUCUUCCUCUUCUUCUCCCUCCACAUUCGGACGCUCUGCUUGAAAUGGCAGAGGCACAGCUACUUCCAUGGCGGCGUAGGCGGAAUCGGCCAUUUCUGGAACUGAGAACUCGUUUGCCAAAGGAUGAUAAAAUUCAUCCAGAUUCUGAGUGGAUAGAGGUUCCGAUGAUGAAUUUGGGUGGAAAUUGGAAACGUUCUGAU